UACGGGGGGGGCAAGCGUUGUUCGGAAUUACUGGGCGUAAAGGGCUCGUAGGCGGCCAACUAAGUCAGACGUGAAAUCCCUCGGCUUAACCGGGGAACUGCCUCUGAUACUGGAUGGCUUGAGUUCGGGAGAGGGAUGUGGAAUUCCAGGUGUAGCGGUGAAAUGCGUAGAUAUCUGGAGGAACACCGGUGGCGAAGGCGGCAUCCUGGACCGACACUGACGCUGAUGAGCGAAAGCCAGGGGAGCAAACGGG
rnacentral:rRNA from 1 species